AUACCCUCUCCAAUGUGCCCACGAUGAGCCUCCUGGCCCUGAUGGAAAUGCUUGUGGUUGGAGAACUCUUUGCUUGACAAGGCUGUCUCCUACAGUUUUCUGAUUUCCUGCUCACAGUUUCGUAACAGAGAUGCUGCACUUCUUCCUGUCCUGCUUCCUGGGGAGAACCCAAAGUGGUUCUAGCCUGUGCCUUAGUAGGAGUACACCGGGCAAGUGGACAAACUGGGAAUAAGUAAUUGAAUAUAUGGCGAUGGUGGAAGCCUGAUUCUCACCACUGGAAUAGGAGGUUAUAGAUAAGCAAGGGUAAGCCAUGUGUUACUAAAUAAGAAUUAAAUGUAUGAGUAUGA